GCUGGGCGUGGUGGCGUGUGCCUGUACUCCCAGCUACUCAGGAGGCAGAGGUGGGAGGAUCGCUUGAAUCCAUGAGUUCUGGGCUACAGCGCACUAUGCCGAUCGGGUAUCUGCACUAAGUUCAGCAUCAACUGGUGACCUUCCGAGAGCGGGGGACCACCAGGUUACCUAAGGAGGGGUGAACUCGCCCAGGUUGGAAACGGAGCAGGUCAAAACUCCCGUGCUGAUCAGAUGCAGGGAGUCUAGAAACACUGGUAUAAUGUAGUUUUGCCUUACCCCACUCAUGUCUUGUGUAUCUGGAAGUUCAGACUCU
rnacentral:SRP_RNA from 1 species